GAUGAAGAACGCAGCGAAAUGCGAUAAGUAAUGUGAAUUGCAGAAUUCAGUGAAUCAUCGAAUCUUUGAACGCACAUUGCGCCCGCCAGCAUUCUGGCGGGCAUGCCUGUUCGAGAGUCAUUUCAACCCUCGAGCCCCCCCGGGGGCCUCGGUGUUGGGGGACGGCAGACCAGCCGCCCCCGAAAUGCAGUGGCGACCUCGCCGCAGCCUCCCCUGCGUAGUAGCACACACCUCGCACGGGAGCGCGGAGACGGUCACGCCGUAAAACGCCCAACUUCUUAGAGUUGACCUCGGAUCAGGUAGGAAUACCCGCUGAACUUAAGCAUAUCAAUAAGCGGAGGA
rnacentral:misc_RNA from 1 species